AACGAACGCUGGCGGCAUGCCUAACACAUGCAAGUCGAACGAGACCUUCGGGUCUAGUGGCGCACGGGUGCGUAACACGUGGGAAUUUGCCUCGGGGUAUGGAAUAACUCAGGGAAACUUGAGCUAAUACCAUAUAAUGUCUUCGGACCAAAGAUUUAUCGCCCUGAGAUAAGCCCGCGUAGGAUUAGCUAGUUGGUGGGUAAAGGCUCACCAAGGCGACGAUCCUUAGCUGGUCUGAGAGGAUGAUCAGCCACACUGGGACUGAGACACGGCCCAGACUCCUACGGAGGCAGCAGUGGGGAAUAUUGGAC
rnacentral:rRNA from 1 species